ACAUCGGUAGCACAGUGGCUAGUGCAGUCUGUCGGAAACAGAAAGGCGCGGGUUCAAUCCACGUACGAUGUU
rnacentral:tRNA from 1 species